CGCCCGGUAGCUCAAGCGGAAGAGCGAGGAGACCUUGUAUCUCUGUGACGCUGGUUCGAGUCCAGCCCGGGCGG
rnacentral:tRNA from 1 species